CCUACGGGAGGCAGCAGUGAGGAAUAUUGGUCAAUGGACGAGAGUCUGAACCAGCCAAGUAGCGUGAAGGAUGACUGCCCUAUGUGUUGUAAACUUCUUUUAUAUGGGAAUAAAAUGUUCCACGUGUGGGAUUUUGUAUGUACCAUAAGAAUAAGGAUCGGCUAACUCCGUGCCAGCAGCCGCGGUAAUACGGAGGAUCCGAGCGUUAUCCGGAUUUAUUGGGUGUAAAGGGCGCGUAGGUGGAUUGUUAAGUCAGUUGUGAAAGGUUGCGGCUCAACCGUAAAAUUGCAGUUGAAACUGGCAGUCUUGAGUACAGUAGAGGUGGGCGGAAUUCGUGGUGUAGCGGUGAAAUGCUUAGAUAUCACGAAGAACUCCGAUUGCGAAGGCAGCUCACUGGACUGCAACUGACACUGAGGCUCGAAAGUGUGGGUAUCAAACAGGAUUAGAUACCCUAGUAGUC
rnacentral:rRNA from 1 species